AUUGAACGCUGGCGGCAUGCUUUACACAUGCAAGUCGAACGGUAACAGGUCUUCGGAUGCUGACGAGUGGCGAACGGGUGAGUAAUGUAUCGGAACGUGCCCAGUAGUGGGGGAUAACUACUCGAAAGAGUGGCUAAUACCGCAUGAGAACUGAGGUUGAAAGCGGGGGGACCUUCAGGCCUCGCGCUACUGGAGCGGCCGAUAUCAGAUUAGGUAGUUGGUGGGGUAAAGGCCUACCAAGCCGACGAUCUGUAGCUGGCCUGAGAGGACGACCAGCCACACUGGGACUGAGACACGGCCCAGACUCCUACGGGAGGCAGCAGUGGGGAAUUUUGGACAAUGGACGCAAGUCUGAUCCAGCAAUGCCGCGUGCAGGACGAAGGCCUUCGGGUUGUAAACUGCUUUUGUACAGAACGAAAAGGCUCUGGUUAAUACCUGGGGCUCAUGACGGUACUGUAAGAAUAAGCACCGGCUAACUACGUG
rnacentral:rRNA from 1 species